GUGAUGAUAAGGUGGUGACAGAAGCAGCACUGGAGUUAGCCUGUGGGAUUGUUGCCUCCCGUGUCAGGAUGCUGAGUGCUGUGUCCUAGUUUGGUUCCAGUGUCAUAUUCCUGCCUAAGCCCCUCUGGGAGGCAGUAGGUGAAGUUCCAAAUACUCCCAUUUGGACACCUGGACAGAAUUCCAAGCACCUGGCUGUCACCUGACCCAGCUGAAUCUUUUGUAGCCAUCAGGGAAGUGGCCAGGAGUUAGAAGAUCACUGUCAGUCUCAGUCUCUUUGCCUUUUUGGAAACAUAUGUGUGGGGCUCCAUGGGAUGCACAGCCAUGGAGCCCCCACGUCAAGGUCGGUCUGAUAGCUGUUGCUGUGUCUUUAUCACAAGGCGAAUGUUGCUAGUUUCAGUUAGGGCAAUGUUUUCCCACGGUUGGGACUUUCCAGAGGAGUUGAGAAUGUUGUAAACAACAAGAUGGCGCCGAGGACUGUGCGGUGAGCCUGCCUGCUGUGUGACACCUCAUCUGAUUGGCCCGAGGACGCGUGCACAAUGCGUGAACAGACAGCAGAUUGGAGUGUUCCGUGCAUGGACUUGAGCCCGCUUGCAAUUGGCCAGAUUUUGUAUAUAAGCUCUGUGCUGAGGAAGGAGGGGGCUUUUCUGUCCACUCUCCUCCCUUCAUUCUUUCUCUGUCGCUGUUAUUUUCUCAUUAAAAGUCUACUGAAGACCGAUAAGUUGCGAACAGUGUCGUUCCUUUGCGGGCAAGGGAGCGACAAGUGGUUCCGUGACUCGGAUUCGGACCACUUUCUACACGCAGGAAUAGGUAAGGAACAAAAGGCACGACAGCGACGCUCAUUACCUGAGAACUGUGAUGAUGAUGUCAUCUUAAUUGGAGACCUGCUUUCACCAUGGCUAUGCAGCUAGUGGGAGUUCCUGGAUUGGCUUAUGGAAAUAAUCGUGGACUACGAAGGCUUACACGUUUGGUGACCAAAACAAUCAAUCUUACUGCUACUGUGCUAUCCAAUAUAGCUGAAGAAUUGGAUCAAGUUUGUUCAGGAGUACUCUUAAACCGAGCAGCUAUCGAUUAUUUGCUGUUAAAAGGUCAUAUAAGCUGUAAAUCUGUUCAAGGGGAAUGUUGUUUUAACAUUACUAACAAUGCCAUAUAUAGAGUCUGUUAUUGAUAAACUUAAAAGAGUAAACUGCAACAUAUAUUUAUUGCUAACCCACUAUUCAUUUGGAGGGUUUCAAUGGAUUCAUUGGUUAUUAAUGCGGGCUGGACCGUUACUGCUUUUCAUACUUUGUAUGGGAUGUUUUCUGUGUGUUCUGCAAUUUGUGCUAUCUUCGCUACAGUCUGUAUGGACUGACAUUCAUCACUUAAAACUUCGUACCAAACCUCCUUUGUAAUCAAAAAUAAUUAAUAUUUGGCUGUAUGUUUCAUCUCUCACCUAAUGUUGGGCUAAAAUGGUACUCAAAAACGGGUAAGACACUCCACAUCCUGUACCUACCUAAGACAGGGCUCAAGUUAAAGAAUGGGUCGCUAUCGGUUGCUUGUUUGUCGUGGUAUCACUGGGCCUUGCCUGCAUCGCCAGAUGGAUCAGAGCCUUAGCACUCCAUCAGCGGAAUACCAACUUGAUAAUCCAACAGGCUAUGCUGGCCACCUUGCUAUCUCACCCCAAUAAAGAAGUAUGGUUUAGCA
ensembl:lncRNA